AACGAACGCUGGCGGCAGGCCUAACACAUGCAAGUCGAACGCACCGCAAGGUGAGUGGCGCACGGGUGAGUAACACGUGGGAAUGUACCCUUUGGUUCGGAAUAACGUUUGGAAACGAACGCUAAUACCGGAUGAGCCCUGCGGGGGAAAGAUUUAUCGCCAAAGGAGCAGCCCGCGUCUGAUUAGCUAGUUGGUGGGGUAAAGGCCUACCAAGGCGACGAUCAGUAGCUGGUCUGAGAGGACGACCUGCCACACUGGAACUGAGACACGGUCCAGACUCCUACGGGAGGCAGCAGUGGGGAAUUUUGGGACAAUGGGCGCAAGCCUGAUCCAGCCAUUCCGCGUGAGUGAAGAAGGCCUCGGUUGUAAGGUAC
rnacentral:rRNA from 1 species